CUCAACCGAACAUAAUAUUAUUCUCAAUAAGUAUUAUUAUUCAUAAGUAUGUCUGUGUGAGCGCAGGUCACUUAUCUCGCGAUAAAAUAUGCUAAAACAAAUAAGUGUGCUUUGAAAUAAUAUGUUGUUAUAGUGUUAUAAUUUUUUGAUUGAAGUAAAAAGGAAGGAAAAAAUGUAUACGUACACAAUAAUUGCAUUUAUAUUUGCCGCAAGUAUUGCAGAUACAACGAGAUUAAAAAGACACGAUCAAACAUGGAUAGGGCCAAAAGAAACAGACGAAAAGGAGAGUACAAA